UCAGAUAAUAAUCCCAGACAUAAAAAUACCAAGAGGGAUAUUUCAGGGAGACAGACUCUCACCACUUUUAUUCUGCUUAAUCAUGGACCCA